rnacentral:rRNA from 1 species
UACGUAGGGUGCAAGCGUUGUCCGGAAUUAUUGGGCGUAAAGAGCUCGUAGGCGGUUUGUCGCGUCUGCUGUGAAAACCCGAGGCUCAACCUCGGGCCUGCAGUGGGUACGGGCAGACUAGAGUGCGGUAGGGGAGAUUGGAAUUCCUGGUGUAGCGGUGGAAUGCGCAGAUAUCAGGAGGAACACCAAUGGCGAAGGCAGAUCUCUGGGCCGUAACUGACGCUGAGGAGCGAAAGCAGUGGGGAGCAACAGG